rnacentral:rRNA from 1 species
AUUGAACGCUGGCGGCAGGCCUAACACAUGCAAGUCGAGCGGAGCGGCGGACGGGUGAGUAAUGUCUGGGAAACUGCCUGAUGGAGGGGGAUAACGUCCGGAAACGGGCGCUAAUACCGCAUACUAUCAGAUGAGCCGAGGUCGGAUUGGCUAGUUGGUGGGGUAAAGGCCUACAAGGACGACGAUCCGCAACUGGUCUGAGAGGAUGAUCAGUCACACGUGAACUGAGACACGGGCCAGACUCCUACGGGAGGCAGCAGUGGGGAAUAUUGGACAAUGGGCGAAAGCCUGAUCCAGCCAUGCCACGUGUGUGAAGAAGGUCUUCGGAUUGUAAAGCUCUUUAAGUUGGGAGGCGUUACCAACAGAAUAAGCACCGGCUAACUUCGUGCCAGCAGCCGCGGUAAUUC